rnacentral:rRNA from 1 species
UACGGAAGGCAGCAGUGGGGAAUAUUGCACAAUGGGCGAAAGCCUGAUGCAGCUAUGCCGCGUGUAUGAAGAAGGCCUUAGGGUUGUAAAGUACUUUCAUCGGGGAGGAAAAAACAAAACUAAUAAUUUUAUUUCUUGACGUUACCCGAAAAAGAAGCACCGGCUAACUCCGUGCCAGCAGCCGCGGUAAUACGGAGGGUGCUAGCGUUAAUCAGAAUUACUGGGCGUAAAGAGCACGUAGGUGGUUUUUUUAAGUCAGAUGUGAAUCCCUGGGCUUAACCUGGAACUGCAUUUUGAAACUGAAAUACUAGAGUAUCGUAGAGGGAGGUAGAAUUCUAGGUGUAGCGGUGAAAUGCGUAGAUAUCUGGAGGAAUACCUGUGGCGAAAGCGGCCUCCUAAACGAAUACUGACACUGAGGUGCGAAAGCGUGGGGAGCGAAACAGGGAUUAGAUACC